UACAGAGGGUGCGAGUGUUAAUCGGAAUUACUGGGCGUAAAGCGCGCGUAGACGGUUUUGUAAGUCAGAUGUGAAAUCCCUGGGCUCAACCUGGGAACUGCAUUUGAGACUGCAUGGCUAGAGUAUCGAAGAGGGAAGUGGAAUUUCCGGUGUAGCGGUGAAAUGCGUAGAUAUCGGAAGGAACACCAGUGGCGAAAGCGACUUCCUGGUCGAAUACUGACGUUCAUGUGCGAAAGCGUGGGGAGCAAACAGG
rnacentral:rRNA from 1 species